CAAAAAGGUCCAUUAAUUAUAAUCCACAUAAUAAUUCACAUUUCCUGUCCCUGCAGGAUUAUUUUCCUGCUGUUUAACUGGUCAAAUGAAGAUAGUAUUGCAAUGUAUUGUAUUGCUAUGCCAUAUGCUUUAAUUUACAAAUCUGCCACAUACUGUUAAGAUGAUCUGUUUUCUGUCUGUAUGAUUGAUACACCCAGAAAAGACGAGAUUCUGUGAAAGUAUGACAUGACAAGGAUCUUUGUACGCAAUUAUGAUGUUUGAUAUUUUUAUGAAUAUAAAUACAACUUUGGAUAUGCAAUAGAAAUAAUGGAGUGAUUAUUGCAGAUACAGCAAUCAACUUACCAUUUCGUAAAACCUCUAGUGCAGACUGAAAUCUAUAAGGAAAAUCAUGGCAAAGUCAUGACAUGAACACGACCUGUGUUUUUAGGCCUACACGAAACUAACUUAAUGUUGGUAGAAUCCUGGAUAUUAUACCAAUAACAAACAUGGCAUGCCCUCAUGGGGAGAAAAGUCAUCGGUCAGCAUACACCUUGCCUCUUUUUCCAUCAGUUUGGAGAGAGGAGGUGUGAUGAUAUACACAAAGACACGCUCUCAAUGCAUUGAGGAGGGGCGGGGGUGGUGGAAGGUGAGCCUUCUUUCUCCCGAUAGCUCACAGUUCCCCUCAGAUUGAGUUCUGAAAGGGGCGGCAACAGCUCAACUGCCAUUACUUGGCUUUCUCCCUCUGUCUGGUGUCUGUUGCAUACAGAGGCAGCAAUCAACUACAGGACAGUAGCAAUGUACAUGGAGAUUGGCUGCUUAGUGCUCUGUGUGAGUGGAUGGAUCCUGGUCUGCUCUACAAUGCCACUGAGAUCUGGACCUGGUCUGAGGUAGACAGCAUCGUUCUGACGACUUCAAACUACUUCUCCAAUCUCUGGAAGGAUUGCACUUCUGAUUCAACAGGAGUAUCCGACUGCAAGGGUAUCCCAUCGAUGUUUGCAUUGAACUGCAAGUGAACAAUUCAAGUGGAUGAAGGAGUCUUCUUUUUAUUAUAACAGCAUGUCAAAAUAAUGAAACUGCAUUAGGUUCUUUAAGAGGGGGCAUCCAUAUGCACCGGGCUCUGAUCAUCACCUCUAUUAUCUUGGGAUUCUGAGAUAGGAGGAUAUUCUGCACUAAGAUAGGAGGAUCUGAGGUUACAAAUGCAAGUGGGACUUUUGAUGGAGGGAUUACCUAUCUUGUGUCUGGUAAAGAAAUCGAAGUAGGUGUUUCCAUUGGAUGUGGAGGCUCGAACCUCCUGGUCGUUGGGGGCCUCAUUUGCAGUUUCUUUGCACAGAAGGAAGGAUGUCAAUCAAGAUCAAAGAACAAACACAUGCCUGUCUACAAGUUCUCUGAUAGCUACAUGGCACCCCCAUCGAAACAGAGGUACCUACCAGUGUCAACAUAACUCACAGAGGGUGGAGAGAGCAUAAGACCAAGACCAGCAGUUAGACUAGGAGCAUUAGGAGCAGCAGCAAGACACCCUCCAGUUUGAACACGUAUGUGUUGUGACCUGCUCUUGUGGCCUGCAGUUUGACAUUUGUAAAAAAAAAAAA